rnacentral:tRNA from 1 species
AGCCCCGUAGUAUAGUGGCCAAGUAUGCGAGGCUUUGGACCUUGAGACCCCGGUUCGAAUCCGGGCGGGGCUA